UCGGCUUAUAAACGAACGGGCUCAUGAUUGAGUAUAUACAGUAAUUUAUUUCACUUAGGUGACUAGAUCUUCCUAGAAACAUCUUAUAUUUCCCCAUCACAUGUUGGUGCUUUUCCACCUGCUGGCAGGAAAUGCUGGGAACUCCAGAAACUCCGUGACAAAAGCAUCAGCUUCUCCUGCUACUCCCUCUUCAGUGUAACUUCCAGCUCAAGGAGACAUAUCUGUGCUAGCUAUGAUUGAGCUAGUGAAGUAAAAAUAGAAAUGUCACCACAGUGGAACACAUGGCAGGAGAGGCUUGUUAGUUAAGCAUGUACCAGGAUCAUAUUCAGAGGGUUGAUGAACCAGAAGGGAACAGACCAAGUAUCUGGUAAUUCAGAACUCAGGGAGGAUUUAUUUGGGGAGACUUGGAACCUGGAGGGAAGUUGGUAUCUUCUCUGCAAAGAAUAACUACACUGGUGAGAGCCAAGAAAAUAUUAGUCUUAUCCCCAACGCCCCUCCUCUACUUGCACUACAUUGAUGACAUCUUCAUUAUAUGGACCCAUGGAAAGGAGGCCAUUGA